UAUGAGAAUUUGGUCAUCCACCAUCCAUACAGGGAGUUCUUAACAAACGCUGAAUAGAGCAAAUACUUCUAACAAAUAUCCAUCUACGAUUUAAAGUGGGCAACUGGGAUGAUGAAUUUCAAGAUGGAGGUGCAUUGGAAGAACUGAAUAUGGGAUGCUUGCAAGGUCUUGGAACUGCAAGGCAGGAAUCUGCCCCAUUGAAUCUAUGAUAGCUUCACCAUUCGCAGCUUCCAAAAAGUGGGGAUGUGCUGCCUCUGGAAAGAAAAGACACUUAGGAAGAAUUGUCCCUGCUCCAUCAACUCACAAUCUAAGGUCGAAGAAGUCAACAGAGAUGAGGGGAACAGACAAUUAAUCACAGAGCGCAACCAGGUCAUCAGCUCCCUUCUAGGGAAAACGGGCUCUUCAGCAAGACAAUCUCCCUUUGUCAGAGCUGCAGAACACUCAGCUACAGGCACCUGUGAUGUCCUCAACUACGCAAAG